UAAGUGCAUUGCUCAUUAAGUGAGUCCCUCAUUCACUUUGCUCAUCAGAAGCCGGCAGCAAAAGUCGCUUAACCUGUGGCCAGAACCGUCUUAAAACAGGGCAAAAUUCAUCUAGCAACCGUCUCACUUAGCAGUGGAAAUUUGGGGCUCCAUUUAUGGCCAUAAGUCGAGGACUCCCUGAACUCCACUCAAACUAUUCUGGGUGGGGAAUUCUGGGAGCUGAAGUCCACUCUUUCUAGAAGUGCCAAAUUUGCCCCCAAAACUGGGAGUCCCUGGGGGGCUGAUCCAGUUGGAGAAAAAGCCAAGAGAACUUAAAUUUUGGUGGCUGAACAAAUAGACUUUGACCCUUUCUAACCAUGCAAGAGAGACACGAUCACCUCCUUUCUUGACUAACUGAUUAUUUGUCUUUUUUUUUCUUUUUCAGAAAGAACAACGUGAGUAGCCAUUUCUUCCUUCCUGCCUACAGUUCUUUGCUGCGUAACCACCAGUCCUGCUGUGAGGUUCCCUUUUCAGGGUGGAUGAGGAAAGGGCACAGUUGAUCCUGGCCUGGCCACUUUCUCUCUGAUUUUAUUCCACUGAUAAAAAGUGGGAGACCCUGGUUCAUUAAAAAAAAAAAGCAAAGUACAGGUAGUCCUUGAGUUACGACCAUUUGCUUACUGACCGUUUGAAGCUGGUUCUCAUACUUCCUUGCUAUAACGUGGCCACGACGUUUGGGUGCUUAUAUUUAUGACGGGUGCACCAUCCUGGAAGUGCUGUGAAUACCAUUUGUGAAGUCGAUGGAGAAGUUGGCAAGGAAGGUCACGUGUUGUGUCUCGCUUAAUGACUGCAUUGCUUAGUGACCAAUUUUCCAGGCCUUAUUGUGGUUGUAACUGGAGGACUACCUGUACAGUAAGUGAAAAGCCAUGAAACAAAAACAAUCAAAAUUAAUAUUCAAACAAUAAAUCGGUGUUCCCCAGCUUUCAGCCCCUGGGAAUUAUGGGAUAUAAAUUCCCAGAAUCCUCCAAUGGACCAUUUCCAGAACUCUCUAAUUGGAGAAGACAUGUGGGAGUUGACAUCCACCCAACUUAAAGUGUGCUGACCAAGGAAUUCUGGGAGUUGUAGUCCAUCCCCCCUAAAGCAUUCUGAACAGGGAAUUCUGGGAGUUGAAGUCCACCUGUAUUAAAGCAUUCUGAACAGGGAAUUCUGGGAGUUGCAGUCCAUCCCCCCUAAAGCAUUCUGAACAGGGAAUUCUGGGAGUUGUAGUCCAUCCCCCCUAAAGCAUUCUGAACAGGGAAUUCUGGGAGUUGUAGUCCACCUGUAUUAAAGCAUUCUGAACAGGGAAUUCUGGGAGUUGAAGUCCAUCCUUAAAGCAUUCUGAACAGGGAAUUCUGGGAGUUGCAGUCCAUCCCUCUUAAAGCAUUCUGAACAGGGAAUUCUGGGAGUUGCAGUCCAUCCCUCCUAAAGCAUUCUGAACAGGGAAUUCUGGGAGUUGCAGUCCAUCCUUAAAACAUUCUGAACAGGGAAUUCUGGGAGUUGAAGUCCACCCAUCUGGAAAUUUGCCAGGGUUGAGAAACAUUUUCCUAAUUCUCUCGUCUCCCCCUUCUCCAAUCUUUUCCAGAAGUUCCAGUAAGAAGGUCAUUUACAGCCAGCCUUCCAACCGAAGCGACGGUGACUUUAAACAAACUUCUUCCUUCCUGGUCUGAUCGUGGCUUACGGACUUCGUGUUUUAAACUCUCUGCCCGGCUCAGGACUGCUGUAAAUGUUCUCGGUGGAUCUUUGUAAUUAAGUGUGAUUUUUAUUCAGUGGUUUUUUUUUUUUUUGUUAAGAUAUAUAUAUAUAAAUAUAUGUAUAUGUAUAAAAUAAUAGUUUGCCUUUUAAACGUAUUUUUUUAAACAGUUGCUAUUUAAAAAGGCUGUGCUUCCAUGCCUUCCUUUCAGGGUAUUUUCAUCGUUUAGGAUCGUGAGACUUUUGAGUUCUGGUACAAAAUGAUUGAAUUCCGUAGUGUGCCUAAUUUUUUUAAGGCUGAUCUGUCACUCAAAUUCAGUUUGAGGUAGUUAUGAGUUUUAAGGACAGAGGUUAAGUGGACUCAGUUGCAUUUCUGUCCUCCCAAAAUCAGUCAUAACCAAACCUUGGUAACUUUUAAGAUGUGUGGACUUCCAACUCUCAGAAUUCUGGGAGUUGAAAUCCACUCAUCUUAAAGUUGCCAUGGUUGAGAAACACUGAUCAUCAUCAUCAUCAUCAUCAUCAUCAUCAUCAUCAUCAUCAUCUUUUAACGACCCCAUAAUCCCUUGUGGGGUGGAGUCUGGGCAGCCGAAUGGAGCUAGCAGAGUGUUCGAAUGGCCGGAUGCCUUUCCUGUCGCCAAUGAGGAGUUUUGUUCAGCAGAUAUAUUCUCAUUGUGCCCAGAGAGAAAAAUUUCUGCCUCUACCUAGGAUCGAACUCACAGCCCCUGCCAAAUUUGAACAAGAAACCAAGUCCUGCAUUUUUGCAUUUAAUUGUGUAGCAGAUAGAAUAGCCACAAUGCAUCUUCUGUCCAUCAAGGAAGUUGUGCUGAAGGACGAUUGUUAAACCGCUCUUCCUUAGGGAGAGAGUUAGACAUGCUAAAAUUACUCCAGCUGUCUUAACAAUAUUUGCCUUUAUUAAUAUUACGAUAUUGUUAUACGGUUUUUUAAAAAAAAAAAAAUGCUGGACACUGAACUGGAAAUAAACUUUUGAUUCAACAAA